UACGAAGGGGGCUAGCGUUGCUCGGAAUCACUGGGCGUAAAGCGCACGUAGGCGGAUUGUUAAGUCAGGGGUGAAAUCCUGGAGCUCAACUCCAGAACUGCCUUUGAUACUGGCGAUCUCGAGUCCGGGAGAGGUGAGUGGAACUGCGAGUGUAGAGGUGAAAUUCGUAGAUAUUCGCAAGAACACCAGUGGCGAAGGCGGCUCACUGGCCCGGUACUGACGCUGAGGUGCGAAAGCGUGGGGAGCAAGCAGG
rnacentral:rRNA from 1 species